AUUUAACGCUGGGGGCAGGCCUAACACAUGCAAGUCGAGCGGAUGAACGGCGCUUUCUUCUGUAUUCAGCUGCGGACGGGUGAGUAAUGCCUAGGAAUCUGCCUGGUAGUUGGGGAUAACGUCCGGUAACGGGCUCUAAUACCGCAUCCUUCCUGCGGUUGACAGUUGUUGAUCUUCGGACUUCACGCUAUCAGAUGAGUCUAGGUCGUAUUAGCUAGUUGUUUGGGAAAAGGCCUACUAAUGCGACGAUCCGUAACUUGUCUUAGAGGAUGAUCAGUCACACUGGACCUGAGACACGGUCCAGACUCCUACGGGAGGCAGCAGUGGGGAAUAUUGGACGAUGGGCGAAAGCCUGAUCCAGCCAUGCCGCGUGUGUGAAGAAGGUCUUCGGAUUGUAAAGCACUCUAAGUGGGGAGGAAGGGCAGUAAGUUAAUACCUUGCUGUUUUGACGUUACCAACAGAAAAAGCACCGGCUAACUUCGUG
rnacentral:rRNA from 1 species